GGAUAACCUGCCGAAAGGUGGGCUAAUACCGGAUGAUGUCCUUGUGGGGAUCCUGCGGGGACCAAAGGGGGCGAGCGUAAGCAGCUCUCACUGAAGGAAGAGCCUGCGUCCGAUUAGCUAGUUGGUGGGGUAACGGCCUACCAAGGCGACGAUCGGUAGCCGGCCUGAGAGGGCGAUCGGCCACACUGGAACUGAGACACGGUCCAGACUCCUACGGGAGGCAGCAGUGGGGAAUAUUGCGCAAUGGGCGAAAGCCUGACGCAGCGACGCCGCGUGGGUGAUGAAGGCCUUCGGGUCGUAAAGCCCUGUCGGGUGGAACGAAUCAUCCGGUGGCAAAUAACCGCCGGGUUUGACGGUACCACCGAAGGAAGCCCCGGCUAACUACGUGCCAGCAGCCGCGGUAAUACGUAGGGGGCGAGCGUUGUUCGGAUUUACUGGGCGUAAAGCGCGCGUAGGCGGCCAGGUAAGUCGGUUGUGAAAGCCCUCGGCUCAACCGAGGUCCCGCAUCCGAAACUGCCAGGCUGGGGUCUAGGAGAGGAGAGCGGAAUUCCCAGUGUAGCGGUGAAAUGCGUGGAUAUUGGGAGGAACACCGGUGGCGAAGGCGGCUCUCUGGACUAGUACUGACGCUGAGGCGCGAAAGCUAGGGGAGCGAACGGGAUUAGAUACCCCGGUAGUCCUAGCCGUAAACGAUGGGCACUGGGUGUGGGAGGUAUCGACCCCUUCUGUGCCGCAGCUAACGCAUUAAGUGCCCCGCCUGGGGAGUACGGCCGCAAGGUUGAAACUCAAAUGAAUUGACGG
rnacentral:rRNA from 1 species